UACGAGGGGGGCGAGCGUUGUUCGGAAUUACUGGGCGUAAAGGGCUCGUAGGCGGCCAACUAAGUCGGAUGUGAAAUCCCCAGGCUCAACUUGGGAACUGCAUCCGAUACUGGAUGGCUUGAAUUCGGGAGAGGGAUGCAGAAUUCCAGGUGUAGCGGUGAAAUGCGUAGAUAUCUGGAGGAAUACCGGUGGCGAAGGCGGCAUCCUGGACCGACAUUGACGCUGAGGAGCGAAAGCUAGGGGAGCAAACGGG
rnacentral:rRNA from 1 species